rnacentral:misc_RNA from 1 species
GUAGCUUUAAAUGUAUUAUUUCCAUAAACCUUUACUCACUUUCAUUACAUUUUCUAAGCAUAUGGAAAGUCUCUUAGAGAUGCAGCGUGUGUGAAGAAUGUUACUAGCGUCUACGGCGACUGCAGGACCUUCAGCCGAAUUCCAUGAAUUUUGUGAUCAAAGAAAUUAUCAUUCACUUGCGGAUAACAGAGAGUUUUUAUGAUUUUUGGAAUCCCAGACUGUUAAGGUGACUAGAUUCAAGUGUGCAUGAUCUGGGAAGUAAAGGUUAAGGCCUGUGUCCACUGGCUGCUUAUAUGAUAAAUUGAACAAGACGAUGACAAACAUGGUUGCUUUAUGCACAAAGCCCUCGAAAAGCAGUAUCUUCCUUCAUCUAACCUGAUAAUUUCUGGUGGAGUACCAAUCCAGAAUCAUAAGCAGUCUAACAAACUAACUGCUUGCAUGAUCACAGUGUCACUUGUCCCCAUAUUAAAACUUAAAUACAACAUUGAAAAAAUAGGUAUAUGAAUAUUCUAAGCGUAACGCCUAAAAGGUAGUAAGCUUUAGCAUCACAACUAAUUCAUGUAAUGAUAGAAGUGAACAGCAGCUGGAUAGAACAUAAAACUUAAACCAAAAAUCAGCACCGAAUCCCUAGCCACCUUUGAUUCUUCACUGCCUUGAUCUUGACUCUGCUCUUCUAGCUUCAUCAGGUGUUGAAGGAAACAACUCAACAUACCUUGAACCAAUUGUCAUCUUAUCUUUGCUCAUGGCCCUUUUAGCUUCCUCAACAGAAACAAACUCCACAUAUGCCUCUCCAGUAGCUUUCCCGUCUGGGCGACACGCAAUGUGUAUCCUCUCUUCAACCAGUUUGAAUUCUUUAAAAAAUUCAAUUAUUUCAGGUUUUUUAACAGAAAAUGGGAGCCCCCGCAUCUUCAAAAUCUCAGUGUAUUCCAAUUGAUCCUUAUCACUGAACCUCUUUGCUUUAGAUGGUGGAGGACUUCCAUGAUAAUCAGUGUCAUAGAUCCCUUCAUAAUUCACCUCUGCAGCAACAGCAUUGUAAUAAUCCUGCCUCUUGCACCUAAAAACUUCCACAUACCUACGCCCCAUGUUCUGUCGAUCUCUCUGUAAAGCAAACUCAACCUGCAUGGACCCUGCAAAGACGACAAAGGCCUCUCCUGAGAACCGUCCAUUCUUAUUGACCAACAGCACAUCCACAAUGUCCAGUCCAGCAAAGAACUUGAUGAUGUCUAUAUCAGUGCAGUUGAAAGGAAGCCCCCUCAGACGAACCACAGGAAAGGCAGGGGGCUGAAAUCCACCACCAUAGCUGUAGGGUUGAAAGCCACUAGGACCACUGCUCACUGCGAAGUAGGGAUUUGAUUCCAUCAUUCUUUGUCUCUUUGAGCCGACCUCGUACCCAUCCGAAACCCCCCCGCUUCCCAACAUUGCCCUUCAUUUAUCCAUACCCAAAAGAAAGAAAAAUCCCCACUCAACCUGUUAAUAAAACCAAACCCAACCCAAGCUUCCCUGACACCUAAUAUUCCUAUAGUUUUUUUUUAAAACGAGGAGGCAUAAUAUUUAAAACCCUCCUAAAAGAAACUACAGAAAAACCACAAAUGCAAAGCAAGACAAUAGCACAUAAUCACCAAUGGCAAUAACAAAGUGUCUAACAAACGAAUGUAAUGAGAAAGGAUCAGCAAAUAAUGUAUCACGUAUAUAUCAGAUGUGUGAUUACUUCUGCAGACUUAUUUUUUAUCCAUCAGAAAUCAAAGAUACAUAACCAAUAACAUUAGUGUCAUGCCAUAUAUGAGAUUCCUCGUAUACAUACUGAUUCCAUAAUAACCAUUAACACUACAAGGCACAAGUAAAAAGUAUUUCAACACUAAAUCAGAUUAUAGUUGACAGGGAACCAUGGUACCAAGUAUUAAAAUAAUAAUUAAAAAAAAAAAGAUAGAAAGCAAUGUCCAAAUCAAUCACCCUAAUAUAAUUUCUCAUGGAGGAUAUGCUUCGCCCUACAAGAAAACAAAACAUACUGCUUUUUCAUUCAUUCACACAUGUAAAUCAUAUCAAAGUGGUUUCAAAUGGUUUUCUUUAUGACUACUACAAUUGUGAACCUUAGAUGCUUAGAACAAUUUGCUGCCCUCAAAAACAGUUAAUCACUGAUUUGUAUAAAAACACAAGUUUGUCAAACUGUCUUGCAAAACAGAUUUCAUAAGAACAUAAAUAAAAAUCUGACACUAAUACCCAUUUUAGAGAAUAGCAAAAUGAUCAUCUCUAGAUUUUGUUGACCGCUAUAAGGUUUUUCAAAGAAAAAUAAAUAAAUUAUCUCAAAAGUUGCAAAUUUUGAUUGAUUUUGAGUAUUCCUGCGCUGUAAUAUUUGGGAAAAAUACAUAUUGGAGAAAUUUCAGUUUUUAUUUUUUCAAAUUCAUUGACCUUAGAAUAUGUACAAAUAAUGGAAUCCAUCUAGGAAAUUUCAAAUCGUGUCUUCAAAUUGUACGAUUUACUUUCCCAUGUA